rnacentral:lncRNA from 1 species
GAUUUUAAUCUCAUUGGCCCCUUUGGCCAAAAUCAAUUUUUGAAAAACCCCUACUUAUUCUCACUACCCCCUCUCCUUCCCAAUUUUUUCAUAAACCAACUCUACCCCUUAUCCCUUUAAUUCUACAUUUAAUUUAAUAUCAACAUAUUUUUUAUCAACCAAUCAAAAAAUUUCUCUCUCUUCUCUCAUUAAAAAAACAAACCUACCAAAUGUCUCACCUUUUACAACAUUAAACGUAGGAACAACGUAGGAGACUUUCUUCUUCUUCUUCUUCUUCUUCUUCUUCUUCUUCUUCUUCUUAUUCUUCUUCAACAGCUCCGACGUUGCAGCUCCGACGUUCU